AGAGUUUGCAACACCCAAAGUCGGUUCGGUAACCUUCGGGAGCCAGCCGCCUAAGGUGGGACAGAUGAUUAGGGUGAAGUCGUAACAAGGUAGCCGUAGGAGAACCUGCGGCUGGAUCACCUCCUUUCUAAGGAAUAAUACGGAAGCCCUGCACUGAGACAAAACUUUGUUUAGUUUUGAGAGGUCUACUCUCAAACUGGGUUCUUUGAAACUAGAUAAUAUCCAAUUUUCUUUUAUUAAUUAAUAAUUUCAUUUAAUUAACCCGAGAACCACCCGCGUUAUUUUGAGUUUUUUAUUAGUAGUUAAACUACUUCGCAUAUACUCAAUUAACUGAAAUCAUAGGUUAGUGAUUUAGGUUAAGUUAACAAGGGCGCAUGGUGAAUGCCUUGGCACUAGGAGCCGAUGAAGGACGGGACUAACACCGAUAUGCUUCGGGGAGCUGUACGUAAGCUAUGAUCCGGAGAUUUCCGAAUGGGGAAACCCAGCCAUCUUAACCGAUGGUAUUGCUUAGUGAAUACAUAGACCAGUCAUAGGUAA
rnacentral:misc_RNA from 1 species